UGGGGAAUUUUGGACAAUGGGCGAAAGCCUGAUCCAGCAAUGCCGCGUGUGUGAAGAAGGCCUUCGGGUUGUAAAGCACUUUUGUCCGGAAAGAAAUCCUUGGCUCUAAUACAGUCGGGGGAUGACGGUACCGGAAGAAUAAGCACCGGCUAACUACGUGCCAGCAGCCGCGGUAAUACGUAGGGUGCAAGCGUUAAUCGGAAUUACUGGGCGUAAAGCGUGCGCAGGCGGUUUGCUAAGACCGAUGUGAAAUCCCCGGGCUCAACCUGGGAACUGCAUUGGUGACUGGCAGGCUAGAGUAUGGCAGAGGGGGGUAGAAUUCCACGUGUAGCAGUGAAAUGCGUAGAGAUGUGGAGGAAUACCGAUGGCGAAGGCAGCCCCCUGGGCCAAUACUGACGCUCAUGCACGAAAGCGUGGGGAGCAAAACAGGAUUAGAUACCCUGGUAGUCCACGCCCUAAACGAUGUCAACUAGUUGUUGGGGAUUCAUUUCCUUAGUAACGUAGCUAACGCGUGAAGUUGACCGCCUGGGGAGUACGGUCGCAAGAUUAAAACUCAAGGAAUUGACGGGGUCAUAGCUG
rnacentral:rRNA from 1 species